rnacentral:rRNA from 1 species
GAUGAACGCUGGCGGCGUGCCUAAUACAUGCAAGUCGAGCGAACGGACGCGGCGCUUGCGUCUCUGAUGUUAGCGGCGGACGUGUGAGUAACGCGUGGAUAACCUACCUAUAAGACUGGGAUAACUUCGAGAAACCGUAGCUAAUCCCGGAGAAUAUUUUGCACCGCGGGGUUCAAAGGUGAGAGACGGUCUUUCUGUAACUUCUAGAUGGAUCCGGGCUGCAUGAGCUAGUUGGUAAGGUAACGGCCUACCAAGGCAACGAUGCAUGGCCGACCGGAGGGGGUGAUCGGCCACCCUGGAACGGGGACACGGUCAAGACUACUACGGGAGGCAGCAGUAGGGAAUCUGACGCAAUGGGCGAAAGCCUGACGGAGCAACGCCGCGUGAGUGAUGACGGUCUUCGGAUCGUAAAACUCUGUUAUUAGGGAGGAACAUAUGUGUAAUGAACUGUGCACAGCUUGACGGUACCUAAUCAGAAAGCCACGGCUAACUACGUG